AAGGAAUAUUGCUCAAUGGGAGAAAUCCUGAAGCAGCAACGCCGCGUGGAGGAUGAAGGGUCUAUGACUUGUAAACUCCUGUAAAGAAGGAAAAAAUUCCCAUUAGAUGGGAGAUGAUGGUACUUCUGGAGUAAGCCCCGGCUAACUACGUGCCAGCAGCCGCGGUAAUACGUAGGGGGCAAGCGUUGUCCGGCUUUACUGGGUGUAAAGGGUGCUCAGGCGGAUUUGUAAGUCAGAGGUGAAAUCUUACAGCUUAACUGUGAAACUGCCUUGUAUACUGCAAGCCUAGAGUAUGGAAGAGGGUGAUGUAAUAUCUGGUGUAGCAGUGAAAUGCGUAGAUAUCAGAUAGAACACCAAUGUCGAAGGCAGUCACUUGGUCCAUUACUGACGCUAAAGCACGAAGGCGUGGGGAGCAAACA
rnacentral:rRNA from 1 species